UACGUAGGGGGCAAGCGUUGUCCGGAAUCAUUGGGCGUAAAGCGCGUGUAGGCGGUCCGGUAAGUCCGCUGUGAAAGUCGGGGGCUUAACCCUCGGAUGCCGGUGGAUACUGUCGGGCUUGAGUACGGAAGAGGCGAGUGGAAUUCCUGGUGUAGCGGUGAAAUGCGCAGAUAUCAGGAGGAACACCAAUAGCGAAGGCAGCUCGCUGGGACGUUACUGACACUGAGGCGCGAAAGCGUGGGGAGCGAACAGG
rnacentral:rRNA from 1 species